AGCCACCGCUAUUGGGGUCCGGCUAAGCCAUGCGAGUGGUGGGCGUCCCGCAAGGGAUGGCCCCGCACACGGCUCAGUAACACGUAGUCAACCUACCCCCGGGACGGGGACAACCUCGGGAAACUGAGGACAAUCCCCGAUAGGUGAGGGACGCUGGAAUGCCUCCUCGCCCAAAGCUACGGCGCCCGAGGAUGGGACUGCGGCCUAUCAGGCUGUUGGUGGUGUAACGGACCACCAAACCUACGACGGGUACGGGCGAUGGGAGUCGGAGCCCGGAGAUGGGGACUGAGACAAGGCCCCAGGCCCUACGGGGCGCAGCAGGCGCGAAAACUCCGCAAUGCGCGCAAGCGUGACGGGGGGACCCCAAGUGCCGUUGGUCUUUUGAUCGACGGCUUUUCAGGGGUCUAUAAAGCUCCUGGAAUAAGGGCUGGGUAAGACUGGUGCCAGCCGCCGCGGUAACACCAGCAGCCCAAGUAGUGGUCGCGAUUAUUGGGCCUAAAGCGCUCGUAGCCGGGCUGGCAAGUCCCUUGUGAAAUCGGACCGCCCAACGGUUCGGCGUGCAAGGGAUACUGCUGGCCUUGAGGCCGGGAGACGUCUGAGGUACUUCGGGGGUAGCGGUGAAAUGCUGUAAUCCUCGGGGGACCACCAGUGGCGAAGGCGUCAGACGAGAACGGACCUGACGGUGAGGGGCGAAGGCUAGGGGCGCGAACGGGAUUAGAUACCCCGGUAGUCCUAGCUGUAAAGCAUGCGGGCCAUAUGCCUGGUGUUCCUCGAGAGCACUAGGUGCCGAAGGGAAGCCGUUAAGCCCGCCGCCUGGGAAGUACGGCUGCAAGGCUGAAACUUAAAGAAAUUGGCGGGGGAGCACAACAAGGGGUGGAACCUGCGGUUC
rnacentral:rRNA from 1 species